UUUCCACAGGGAAGCAAGGAUUUGCACCCCCCGUGAUGGGCUUGCAGUGGGAUUCUCAAAGCUUGUUAAGGAGCUGCAGGUCAGGAAGGUGCAACCUUCAGAAGUCACAGCUCAGGAAGUGAGAUCUAAGCUCAGCUGGGAAGGAGGAAUGACAUCAAAGUGCCCUGUUUGGAGCUGGAAUAAAACAGAGGGAAGGUGGCAGCCAUGAGGUCAGGCUGCAAGGGAGAUAAAGGAGAGAACAAUCACUAGUGCUGGGACCUCUCUUUAUUGCAAGGGAAAUACAAAAGAUGGACAGCAGCAUUCAAGGGAACACAGCACCCCCCUGCUCCUGGGAAACAAGGAAGAACACUCCGUGGAGAUUUCCCAACCCAGUUUUCAGUUGAUCUCACAUUCCAGAUAGAAUUUCUUGGCAGAAGGGUAAAACAUUUCUUUCACAGUGCACCAGAGAGGGACAUGGGGCUGAG